rnacentral:lncRNA from 7 species
AGGAAAUGGCAAACAGCUCAUCAGGUGCUGCUUAGGAUGAACUGGGAGCUCCAGGCAGCACAUUUUCCAACUGGAGAUACAAGGAAUAAAUAUUAAGUUCCUACAACAGAAUUAUAAGACACCAUAAAAUCAUAACCUUGCAUCAGCAGAGAUGUAGAGAAAGGAGAAGUUUGCAUUUUUAAGAUUCAUAACCUGUGGUGCAAUUCAUACCAAUGGCUCAGCAAGACCAUCUAAACUCUAAGCGGAAAAGUCUACGUGUGACUUGUUUCAAGAAAAGAACAAUCCUUCCUCCUUGAGCAGGUGACAUAGAGGAUGGGAAAAUGGAAGAAAGAUUAAACUGUGGACUUCCUCUUGCCAGCUGUAUGGAUACUAAAGGACAAAAAGUUAUGGAGAGAAGAAACCUAGUUUCUCUUGCCAACAAGGAGGUAUUCAGGACUAUGUCUAGAUAAAAUAACUCAGGCUACUUUUUAACACGUGCAGAGAUAACAAUUUUUCAUCAGGACAAUCCAAGUAUUUGCCAGAUGAAAGUAUAUCUUUCUUCAUGUUUUGAAAUAUUCUCCAAGUUGUAUGUUGAAUUCUUUGCUGACUUCAGUUACUUUGCUCUGAAACAUUCAUGUUUCUGACCUCCUGGGAGACACUGACCAUAACUAAGGAGCCUAACUGUUGAGUUGUGAAUAAAGGAACAGACUUAAGCAUAGAUCCACAUUGUAAAACUAGCUCAGACCAGAGAGUUUCAGUGCAUACUGAGCACCACAAAAAAUGUCUUCAGCAGCCACCAUGUAUCAUUCCCUUUGCAAAUAUGCCUGGCUUUUUAUGGACCUUAUCUCCUGAAGCUCCAGUGGCUUUCAGAAGGGAUCUUGCUGUCCUACUCACUGCAGUUCCCCAGGAAAACGCCACUGGGGACCCUACUGCAAUACACAGGGCUGUCCAGCAAAACAGCAUUGUAUUUUUGUUUUCUUCACAGGAUAAGACAGUUGGGGAAAUAUUCCCCAGUAAAACAUUUAGACAUUAUCAUGGUACUUUGGUUGUUUCUUUUCAUACGGAAAACAUUAUCCUUAGAAUACCUUUGUUUCUAAUGAGCCCUAAGAUCACAGGGAUAUUGGUAGUAUCCCAUAAGGACAUUUCUGUAUUACAAUGAGACUGGAUGCUUCCUUGAGAAAUUACCAGAUUCAUCAUAUGAAAAUUAAAUUCUGUAUGGCUUCCUAGAGACUGCAGUGAUGUUUUUAGGUGUGUUUUUGAGCUGGAGAAUGGUAAAUAUGCAACAGAUGUAAGCAACAGGGUACAAACAAAGACUGAAAGCAUAGUUAGGGCUUUAAUUAACUUUCAAAAUAGCUUUUGCCAAAAUCACUGUUUCUCUACCCAUGUGGUUGGCUUCUCAAGGAAAGUCACUGCAGGGAGCAGUGAUGUGUGAAUUAAUUUAAAGGAAUCCUUUGUAUUUAUCUCAUUUUAAAGAAUGAUGAAAAGGUAUAACCUGGUGUUCAGUGAAGGUAAUUUGAGACUAGAUACGCCACAAAAUACUGCAGAGUAUUUUUGGCUUUGGUGUUGGUUUUGGUGGUAUUUAAUUGUGGGGUUUUUUCAUUUUAAUUUUUAAUAUUUGCCACUGGAGCUUUUCCUGAUGUCAACGAGAGGCAAAUCUGCUUGCUAUAAAGCAGCAUCAGCUUCCAGAAAAUAAUGCAGUCCCUUGUUUUAACAUUGUGCAUUUGUAACUAAGGCAUUUCACUCCUCACCUUUGAUAAUGAGUCAGCAUAAUUAAUUCAACUCAAGUGCAAACCCCAUUCUUAAUGCAUUUACAGCAUGCACGGUUUUAUUUGUAUAACAACAACAACAAAAAAUAUUAUAUGGAAUGUGUUCGUUGUCAUAUGUUAUUCCUGAUAUAUUGGGGUGCAAUUUCUUAGCUACUCUGAUAAAUACACUAAAAUAUAACAAUAAGAUACUGUUAUCCUUUCACAUUUACCUCCACGU